AGACCCGAAACCCGGUGAUCUAGCCAUGGGCAGGUUGAAGGUUGGGUAACACUAACUGGAGGACCGAACCGACUAAUGUUGAAAAAUUAGCGGAUGACCUGUGGCUGGGGGUGAAAGGCCAAUCAAACCGGGAGAUAGCUGGUUCUCCCCGAAAGCUAUUUAGGUAGCGCCUCGUGAAUUCAUCUCCGGGGGUAGAGCACUGUUUCGGCUAGGGGGCCAUCCCGGCUUACCAACCCGAUGCAAACUGCGAAUACCGGAGAAUGUUAUCACGGGAGACACACGGCGGGUGCUAACGUCCGUCGU
rnacentral:rRNA from 2 species